CCACAUAUUUCAAAGUCUUAUAACUUUUUAUUUUUGUCCUCACUGGCCUCCAAGUUUUCUAGGAUGAUGCAAUGUCCAGCCAUCAACACAUUUGUGAAGGAAUUUUUACUCCCCAAAAGAGCGCCCCCCCCAUGGCAGGAGAAAAAAGUCCAUUUUUUCUUGUCCCCUAAGGUGAAAAUUCACACUAUUGACUGUCACGCCUGUACGCUUUGUCAUAUUGACACAAAAAUUGACACACACGUGUAUCUCAAUAAGAUCUACGAAAAAGUCAAUGCGCACGUAUCUGUCAAAUGUACGGUUAAAGGGUUAUUUCGCAUUUUUUGCAGAUCCGCACACAUUGGAAUUUCGCUAACUCCUCCGAAGGCUUUCGUUCCACCGGCACCACAUUUGCUCAGGCCAAUCUACACCCCAUGGCCAUUAAAAGUUAUUCAAAUCAUGAUGCUGCACCCCACGGUUUAGGUUCUAGGGGGCGCCAAAUAUAACCCUAAAAUCCACAUAUUUAAAAGUCUUAUAACUUUUUAUUUUUGUCCUCACUGGCCUCCAAGUUCUCUAGGAUGAUGCAAUGUCCAGCCAUCAACACAUUUGUGAAGGAAUUUUUACUCCCCAAAAGAGCGCCCCCCCAUGGCAGGAGAAAAAAGUCCAUUUUUUCUUGUCCCCUAAGGUGAAAAUACAUAUUGUUGAGUGUCACGCCUGUACGCUUUGUCAUAUUGACACAAAAUUUGACAAUCACGUGUGUCUCAAUAACAUCUACGAAAAAGUCAAUGCACGCAUAUCUGUAAAAUGUACGGUUAAAGGGCUAUUUUGCAUUUUUUGCCGAUUCGCACACAUUGGAAUGUGGCUAACUCCUCCUAAGGCUUUCGUCCCACUGACACCAAAUUUGCUCAGGCCAAUCUACACCCCAUGGCCAUUCAAAGUUGUAAAAAUCAUGACGCUGCACCCCACGGUUUACGUUCUAGGGGGCGCCAAAGAUGACCCAAAUAUCCACAUUCUUAAAAGAAUCCACCCCCCCCCCCCCCAUUCCCCAUCCCCCAUGGCAGGAGAAACAGUCAAGUUUUUCCUGCCCAUCACUCAAUGGCUCAAUCACAUCGCUCUCCCGGCAACACCGUAACGAGGAGCAACUUGCCGUUUGGAUAUAUCCUAGCUGUGUUUGUGCCCUCACUCAUGGUCCAGACUUUUUUCAAAUAGGACAUGUAGUUUGUCUGCAGCGAGUGUUUUGGUAGAAACUGCGCCUCCCAUUCAUUAUAAUGGGAAAUGACCACAGACAAGUGCGCACACCAUCUUUGGACCUUGAGUGUGACGCGAUCGGGGGGGAGGCGGUCGCGCUGGGGGCGGCGCGACGCGGCUCGGGCCCGACAGUGCCCCACCGGGGCCCUAGUUAGGGCCCGAGCGUAGCUGCUAAGCAGCUGCGAGAGCCCUAUUAUUCCCCAAGUGGUUUUUCUUUGUUUCUUUAGGGCCCGAGCGUAGCUGCUAAGCAGCUGCGAGAGCCCUCUUGUUCCUGUAGUUUCCUUCUUUUGUUAUUAUUAUUAUUAUUAUUUUUCCUCCCCUUUGAACUGGAAAAUGGCCCACUUCCCACUGGCGAAAACUCAUGAAAUUUGGCAGGACGACCGGGCCUGGUGAAAAAUUUGAUAUUCCGAAGUCGCCCAAACAAGAAAAUGCAAAAUGGCUCCAUAGCGCCCCCUAAGGUGAAAAUUCACACUAUUCACUGUCACGCCGGUACGCUUUGUCAAAAUGACACAAAAAUUGACACACACAUGUAUCUCAAUAAGAUCUACAAAAAAGUCAGUGCGGGCGUAUCUGUCAAAUGUACGGUUAAAGGGUUAUUUCGCAUUUUUUGCCGAUCCGCACACAUUGGAAUUUCGCUAACUCCUCCGAAGGCUUUCGUUCCACCGGCACCACAUUUGCUCAGGCCAAUCUACACCCCAUGGCCAUUAAAAGUUAUUCAAAUCAUGACGCUGCACCCCACGGUUUAGGUUCUAGGGGGCGCCAAAGAUAACCCUAAGAUCCACAUAUUUAAAAGUCUUAUAACUUUUUAUUUUUGCCCUCACUGGCCUCCAAGUUUUCUAGGAUGAUGCAAUGUCCAGCCAUCAACACAUUUGUGAAGGAAUUUUUACUCCCCAAAAGAGCGCCCCCCCAUGGCAGGAGAAAAAAGUCCAUUUUUUCUUGUCCCCUAAGGUGAAAAUACACAUUGUUGAGUGUAACACCUGUACGCUUUGGCAAAAUGACACAAAAAUUGACACACACAUGUAUCUCAAUAAGAUCUACGAAAAAGUCAAUGCGCGCGUAUCUGUCAAAUGUACGGUUAAAGGGUUAUUCUGCAUUUUUUGCCGAUCCGCACACAUUGGAAUGUGGCUAACUCCUCCUAAGGCUUUCGUUCCACCGGCACCACAUUUGCUCAGGCCAAUCUACACCCCAUGGCCAUUAAAAGUUAUUCAAAUCAUGAUGCUGCACCCCACGGUUUAGGUUCUAGGGGGCGCCAAAGAUAACCCUAAAAUCCACAUAUUUCAAAGUCUUAUAACUUUUUAUUUUUGUCCUCACUGGCCUCCAAGUUUUCUAGGAUGAUGCAAUGUCCAGCCAUCAACACAUUUGUGAAGGAAUUUUUACUCCCCAAAAGAGCGCCCCCCCAUGGCAGGAGAAAAAAGUCCAUUUUUUCUUGUCCCCUAAGGUGAAAAUACACAUUGUAGAGUGCCACGCCUGUACGCUUUGUCAAAAUGACACAAAAUUUGACAUACACGUGUAUUUCAAUAAGAUCUUCGAAAAAGUCAAUGGCCACGUAUCUGUAAAAUGUACGGUUAAAGGGUUAUUCCGCAUUUUUUUCCGAUCCGCACACAUUGGAAUUUCGCUAACUCCUCCGAAGGCUUUCGUUCCACCGGCACCACAUUUGCUCAGGCCAAUCUACACCCCAUGGCCAUUAAAAGUUAUUCAAAUCAUGACGCUGCACCCCACGGUUUACGUUCUAGGGGGCGCCAAAGAUAACCCUAAAAUCCACUUAUUUAAAAGUCUUAUAACUUUUUAUUUUUGUCCUCACUGGCCUCCAAGUUCUCUAGGAUGAUGCAAUGUCCAGCCAUCAACACAUUUGUGAAGGAAUUUUUACUCCCCAAAAGAGCGCCCCCCCAUGGCAGGAGAUAAAACUCCAUUUUUUCUUGUCCCAUAAGGUGAAAAUACACAUUGUUGACUGUCAUACCUGUACGCUUUGUCAUAUUGACACAAAAUUUGACAAUCACAUGUAUCUCAAUAAGAUCUACGAAAAAGUCAAUGCGCGCGUAUCUGUAAAAUGUACGGUUAAAGGGCUAUUUUGCAUUUUUGCCGAUUCGCACACAUUGGAAUGUGGCUAACUCCUCCUAAGGCUUUCGUCCCACUGACACCAAAUUUGCUCAGGCCAAUCUACAUCCCAUGGCCAUUCAAAGUUGUAAAAAUCAUGACGCUGCACCCCACGGUUUACGUUCUAGGGGGCGCCAAAGAUGACCCAAAUAUCCACAUUCUUAAAAGAAUCCCCCCCCCCCCCAUCCCCCAUCCCCCAUCCCCCAUGGCAGGAGAAACAGUCAAGUUUUUCCUGCCCAUCCCUCAAUGGCUCAAUCGCAUCGCUCUCCUGGCAACACCGUAACGAGGAGCAACUUGCCGUUUGGAUAUAUCCUAGCUGUGUUUGUGGACCCACUCAUGGUCCAGACUUUCUUCAAAUAGGACAUGUAGUUUGUCUGCAGCGAGUGUUUGGUAGAAACUGCGCCUCCCAUUCAUUAUAAUGGGAAAUGACCACAGACAAGUGCGCACACCAUCUUUGGACCUUGAGUGUGACGCGAUCGGGAGGGGGGGGCGGUCGCGCCGGGGGCGGCGCAACGCGGCUCGGGCCCGACAGUGCCCCACCGGGGCCCUAGUUAGGGCCCGAGCGUAGCUGCUAAGCAGCUGCGAGAGCCCUCUUGUUCCUGUAGUUUCCUUCUUUUGUUAUUAUUAUUUUUCCUCCCCUUUGAACUGGAAAAUGGCCCACUUCCCACUGGCGAAAACUCAUGAAAUUUGGCAGGACGACCGGGCCUGGUGAAAAAUUUGAUAUUCUGAAGUCGCCCAAACAAGAAAAUGCAAAAUGGCUCCAUAGCGCCCCCUAAGGUGAAAAUUCACACUAUUGACUGUCACGCCUGUACGCUUUGUCAAAAUGACACAAAAAUUGACACACACAUGUAUCUCAAUAAGAUCUACAAAAAAGUCAGUGCGGGCGUAUCUGUCAAAUGUACGGUUAAAGGGUUAUUUCGCAUUUUUUGCCGAUCCGCACACAUUGGAAUUUCGCUAACUCCUCCGAAGGCUUUCGUUCCACCGGCACCACAUUUGCUCAGGCCAAUCUACACCCCAUGGCCAUUAAAAGUUAUUCAAAUCAUGACGCUGCACCCCACGGUUUAGGUUCUAGGGGGCGCCAAAGACAACCCUAAAAUCCACAUAUUUAAAAGUCUUAUAACUUUUUAUUUUUGCCCUCACAGGCCUCCAAGUUUUCUAGGAUGAUGCAAUGUCCAGCCAUCAACACAUUUGUGAAGGAAUUUUUACUCCCCAAAAGAGCGCCCCCCCAUGGCAGGAGAAAAAAGUCAAUUUUUUCUUGUCCCCUAAGGUGAAAAUUCACACUAUUGACUGUCACGCCUGUACGCUUUGUCAAAAUGACACAAAAAUUGACACACACAUGUAUCUCAAUAAGAUCUACAAAAAAGUCCAUGCGCGCGUAUC